rnacentral:rRNA from 1 species
CGGUGAAUACGUUCCCGGGCCUUGUACACACCGCCCGUCACGCCACGAAAGUUUGCUGGACCAGAAGUCGCCAAAAGCGCCUAAGGUAACGCAGAUGAUUGGGGUG